UCGCAAGUUUUUACAAACGCAGACAGUGGAUGCCUUGGUAUGACCAACCGAAGAAGGACGUACAUAGCCACGAAAGUCGUCGGGGAGCUGCUUAAGAAGCUUUGAUCCGGCGGUGUCCGAAUGGGGAAACCCACCAAUUUAUUGGUACCUAUAUCCCAAAUUUUUGCCUUUUGGCAAAAUACUAAGAUUUAGGCGGGAACCCGGAGAACUGAAACAUCUCAGUAUCCGGAGGAAGAGAAAACAAUGUGAUUACCUCAGUAGCGGUGAGCGAAAGGGUAAGAGCCUAAACCCCAUAUAGCUUCGCAAGAAGCUUUGUGGGGGGUUGCGGGACUCCAAUGUGGGAUUUUGUUUGAUAGUGGAAUGGCAUGGAAUUGCCAACCAAAGAAAGUGAAAGUCUUGUACACGAAAUCAAAUAAAGCCCUAGGAGUUUCCCAAGUACCACGGAGUAUAGCCUCUGUGGGAAUCUAGGGGAACCAUCCUCUAAGGCUAAAUAUUAGGUCGUAACCGAUAGUGAACUAGUACCGUGAGGGAAAGGCGAAAAGAAGGGUGAGACACCCAGUGAAAUAGAACCUGAAACUUUCUGCGGACAAACCGAGAGAGCCGUGCUUGCACGGUGAUCUCGUGCCUAUUGAAGAAUGAACCGGCGAGUUGCCGUCCACAUCUAGUCUGACCGCAUUUUGCGGGAAGGCGCAGGGAAACCGAGUCCUAAUAGGGCGAAAUAAGGUGUGUGUGGCAGACCCGAAACCAGGCGAGCUAACCGUGAGCAGGGUGAGCCCCAUCGAAAGAUGGGGGGAAGCCCGAACCCGUUGUCGUUGCAAUGACAUGGGAUGACUUACGGUUAGAGGUAAAAUGCCAACCGAGCCUGGAGAUAGCUGGUUCUCCCCGAAAGGUCUAUAGGGACCGUGGUCGUUUUGUUUCUCAGGGGUAGAGCACUGGAUGGGCAGGGGAGGGUAACCAACCUUGUCUAACCAAACUCCGAAUACUGAGAAUUAUGACGGCUAGACAGUCACAUCGGGCUAAGCUGAUGUGGCGAGAGGGAAACAUCCCAGAUUCUCGUCUAAGGCCUCUAAAUCUAUCUUAAGUUUGAAAGGAAGUUCUCUUUCUCAGACAGCCAGGAGGUUGGCUCAGAAGCAGCCACCCUUUAAAGAAAGCGUAACAGCUCACUGGUCGACGAGAGGGGGCGCCUAAGAUUUAUCGAGGAUUAAAGAUAGUGCCGAAGACAGAAAUGCGGAGCAAUCCGCGUGGUAGGGGAGCGUCCCGUAUGCAGUGAAGGUGAACCGUGAGGUUUGCUGGAGCGUGCGGGAGUGAGUAUGCCGGUAUGAGUAGCGCACAAGAGGAGUGAGAAUCUCCUCCACCGAACACCCAAGGAUUCCGUCGCGAGGUUCGUCCUCGACGGGUUAAUCGGUACCUAAGGCGAGGCCACAAAUGGCGUAGCCGAAUGGACAAGCAGUUAAAAUUCUGCUAUUUAUUUUGGAUCGUUAUUAGCUGGGGGAUGACUUGUCAGGAUAGCUAGGGCCAGCAAAUGAUGUCUGGUGCAAUCUGUUAAAUAGUAUCAGCUGGGAAAUCCGCUGAAACGAUUAAUUGAGCAGUUAUGCAAACUCCACUGAGAAGUGGGGAAUUCUAGCAAAUUCAGACAACGAGAAAAGUCUCGCAGUCAGAGCCAAAAUAAGCCGUACCACAAACCGACACAGGUGGGUUGGGCGAGUAGCCUAAGGUGAGCGAGAGAAGAAUGUUCCAGGAAUUCGGCAAAAAAUCUACCCGUAACUUAGGGAGAUGGGUUGCCCACCGCAAGGUGGGUUGCAACUAAAGAUUACUAGUCGACUGUUUAUCAAAAACACAGGUCCCUGCGAAGCUGAAAGGCACGGUAUAGGGGCCGACGCCUGCCCAGUGCUGGUAAGUUAAGCGGAUGGGUGAUCGCCGCAAGGUGAUUGCCUUGAAGUUAAG
rfam:Candidatus Woesebacteria bacterium RIFCSPHIGHO2_12_FTLL_46_16 rifcsphigho2_12_scaffold_61439, whole genome shotgun sequence.